GAUCAACGCUGGCGGCGUGCAUAACACAUGCAAGUCGAACGAAGUGGCGAACGGGUGAGUAACACGGGAGUAACCCGCCUUACACACGGGGAUAGCCUUUGGAAACGAAGAAUAAUACCCUCUAGUGUAAGAUGGACUAGCGUCUGAUUAGCUAGUUGGUGUAAUACAAGCCCACUAAGGCGACGCUCAGUAGCCGGCUUGAAAGAGUGUACGGCCGCAUUGGGACUGAGACACGGCCCAAACGCUACGGGAAGCAGCAGUGGGGAAUGUUUCACAAUGGGUGAAACCCUGAUGCAGCGACGCCGCGUGAUUUAUAAGGCCUUCGGGUUGUAAAAAUCUUUUUUAUGGGAUGCAGUACCAUAAUAAGAAGGUCCGGGUAAAUACGUGCCAGCAGCCGCGGUAAUAG
rnacentral:rRNA from 1 species